AGAGAAGGGGGAAAAGGGGGGAAAGAGGACAUGGAGAUGAUGACUUGCAGGCAAUUCAAUUGAGAAAUUUUUCCUCUAAAGCAGAGCAAAGAAAUCAUGACAGAGUCUUGUUCUGCUUCCCAGGCUGGAGUACAGUGGCAUGAUCAUAUCUCACUGUAGCCUCAAACUGCUGAGUCUGAGGUGAUGCUCCUGCCUCAGUCUACCAGUAACUGGGACUACAGUGAAGAAAAAAGUGAAAUCAUCGGCUAAGAGCGAGGAGGAAAGGAUGCAUAAGGUUGAGGAAUAAGAGCACUCACCAUAAUUUCUGGGACAGCUGGAAAAUAAAUUGACUGUGGAAAUACAGUAUGACUGGCAAGCAGCACUGAGAGCCCACUUGAAGUUCAGGGGCAUGGAUUUAAAG